rnacentral:antisense_RNA from 1 species
UUUGAUAGAACCCAGCCACAGCGGACGAUCCGCCGGCCGAUUCUGUCCAUAGGUUGCCAGCAGCGCCUGGGCCUC